UCGGACGAUCUGUGAGAGCAAAGCAGACAAGAUGUAGGCAGGGGACUGAUAGUUCUGGUGGCGGAAUCCACCACUGGAAGAUUUCGAACAUAGAAUAGUUGAUGAAUUUAGGAUGAUAGAGUCCGUGCCCAGCGAUUGUGUGAUCUGUUGAUUCUAAACUAAGAUUGUCGGGUGUAUUCCAUUCUGCAACGAUUCAACUGAGCGCCAGUGAAAGAUAUAGAAUCCUUUGUGUAUACGCCAGGAGAAGUAUAGUUGGGAUAUAUGGUGGUUCUGCUUUAUUUCUUUGAGGAUCCUCUACACUCAGUUACACCAUGGUUUCAUCAGUUAUCAUCCCAUCAACACUCCACUGGAUGCGGGACUAUUUUUCAAAAUUAAAGUGACCAACACUGGAGAUAAAGUAGUUGGGAUUAAACCUGAAGGCUUAUUUCACCACACUAAAGGAAAGAAAGACCACUGUAUUGUGUCUUACGAAGGCCAUGGUAGGAGGAUGGAGUGUCUGCUGAUCUAUAUGAACAAGGAGCGGCUGGAAAACCAGAAACGUAACUUCUGGAAGUUGGAGCUAUCCAUCUGGCUUACUUACUGAGAACUGUAGGCACCCGCACUGCAAGCAUUAUUUAUAUACUAAGUAAUGCAUUUAAGAUUUAUGAGGAAUGAGAAGUCACACCACACCUAGAAGGGUGUGAACACGGAAUGCCUGCACUCAGGGAGAGAUCUGCGUCAGCUGUAUUUUUGAUCAAAAGUUGUUCCCAUAGUGACAACACUCUCCCCCUUAUCAGUAUUUCUUCUUGUUACUUGGUUACCAAAAUAUGAAAUGAAUACUGAAUGCAGGUCAUGAGCAUGAGAGCGAAUAUAAAGCUAACUAGUUAUCUAGGUCUAACUCUGUCAUGAUUUUUCUUUAUAUUUUUGGUGGUGGUUAAAUACAUAAAUAUAUUCAGUGGUCUAAGUAUAGAACCCAAUAUGAAGCCCACAGCCUCCAAAUGCCUAUUGUAACUUCCCAGAAGUUCACUGAGGUAUACAAACCUUAGGUCUAAUAAAUUCACUGUGUAAUUUUUUUAUUUACAUAAUUGUUAAAAUAAAAUUUAUUAAAAUGUA
rnacentral:lncRNA from 1 species